CUGUAAGCCUGCGAAGGUGGCCUGUGAGGGUUGCUGGAGGUAUCAGAAGUGCGAAUGCUGACAUAAGUAACGAUAAAGCGGGUGAAAAGCCCGCUCGCCGGAAGACCAAGGGUUCCUGUCCAACGUUAAUCGGGGCAGGGUGAGUCGACCCCUAAGGCGAGGCCGAAAGGCGUAGUCGAUGGGAAACGGGUUAAUAUUCCCGUACUUGGUGUUACUGCGAAGGGGGGACGGAGAAGGCUAUGUUGGCCGGGCGACGGUUGUCCCGGUUUAAGCGUGUAGGUGUGUGUUCCAGGUAAAUCCGGUUCACUUUAACACUGAGGCGUGAUGACGAGGCACUACGGUGCUGAAGCAACAAAUGCCCUGCUUCCAGGAAAAGCCUCUAAGCAUCAGGUAACAUCAAAUCGUACCCCAAACCGACACAGGUGGUCAGGUAGAGAAUACCAAGGCGCUUGAGAGAACUCGGGUGAAGGAACUAGGCAAAAUGGUGCCGUAACUUCGGGAGAAGGCACGCUGACACGUAGGUGAAGUGAUUUACUCAUGGAGCUGAAGUCAGUCGAAGAUACCAGCUGGCUGCAACUGUUUAUUAAAAACACAGCACUGUGCAAACACGAAAGUGGACGUAUACGGUGUGACGCCUGCCCGGUGCCGGAAGGUUAAUUGAUGGGGUCAGCGCAAGCGAAGCUCCUGAUCGAAGCCCCGGUAAACGGCGGCCGUAACUAUAACGGUCCUAAGGUAGCGAAAUUCCUUGUCGGGUAAGUUCCGACCUGCACGAAUGGCGUAAUGAUGGCCAGGCUGUCUCCACCCGAGACUCAGUGAAAUUGAACUCGCUGUGAAGAUGCAGUGUACCCGCGGCAAGACGGAAAGACCCCGUGAACCUUUACUAUAGCUUGACACUGAACAUUGAGCCUUGAUGUGUAGGAUAGGUGGGAGGCUUUGAAGUGUGGACGCCAGUCUGCAUGGAGCCGACCUUGAAAUACCACCCUUUAAUGUUUGAUGUUCUAACGUGGACCCGUGAUCCGGGUUGCGGACAGUGUCUGGUGGGUAGUUUGACUGGGGCGGUCUCCUCCUAAAGAGUAACGGAGGAGCACGAAGGUUGGCUAAUCCUGGUCGGACAUCAGGAGGUUAGUGCAAUGGCAUAAGCCAGCUUGACUGCGAGCGUGACGGCGCGAGCAGGUGCGAAAGCAGGUCAUAGUGAUCCGGUGGUUCUGAAUGGAAGGGCCAUCGCUCAACGGAUAAAAGGUACUCCGGGGAUAACAGGCUGAUACCGCCCAAGAGUUCAUAUCGACGGCGGUGUUUGGCACCUCGAUGUCGGCUCAUCACAUCCUGGGGCUGAAGUAGGUCCCAAGGGUAUGGCUGUUCGCCAUUUAAAGUGGUACGCGAGCUGGGUUUAGAACGUCGUGAGACAGUUCGGUCCCUAUCUGCCGUGGGCGCUGGAGAACUGAGGGGGGCUGCUCCUAGUACGAGAGGACCGGAGUGGACGCAUCACUGGUGUUCGGGUUGUCAUGCCAAUGGCACUGCCCGGUAGCUAAAUGCGGAAGAGAUAAGUGCUGAAAGCAUCUAAGCACGAAACUUGCCCCGAGAUGAGUUCUCCCUGAGACUUUAGGUCUCCUGAAGGAACGU
rnacentral:rRNA from 1 species